rnacentral:rRNA from 1 species
AUGAACGCUAGCGACAGGCUUAACACAUGCAAGUCGAGGGGCAGCGGGGAGUAGCAAUACUUCGCCGGCGACCGGCGCACGGGUGAGUAACACGUGUGCAACCAACCCCGUACCGGGAGAUAACCCGCGGAAACGUGGACUAACAUCCCAUGAUACUCGAGGGCCGCAUGGCUCUCGAUUUAAAAUUCCGGUGGUACGGGACGGGCACGCGCGACAUUAGGUAGUUGGCGGGGUAACGGCCCACCAAGCCGACGAUGUCUAGGGGUUCUGAGAGGAAGGUCCCCCACACUGGAACUGAGACACGGUCCAGACUCCUACGGGAGGCAGCAGUGAGGAAUAUUGGUCAAUGGGCGAGAGCCUGAACCAGCCAAGUCGCGUGAGGGAAGAAGGUUUUCGGAUUGUAAACCUCUGUCCUAAGGGACGAAGGAAGUGACGGUACCUUAGGAGGAAGCCCCGGCUAACUACGUGCCAGCAGCCGCGGUAAUACGUAGGGGGCGAGCGUUGUCCGGAAUGACUGGGCGUAAAGGGCGUGUAGGCGGCAGUAUAAGUCCGGAGUGAAAGUCCUGCUUUCAAGGUGGGAAUUGCUUUGGAGACUGUACAGCUUGAGUGCGGAAGAGGUAAGUGGAAUUCCCAGUGUAGCGGUGAAAUGCGUAGAGAUUGGGAGGAACACCAGUGGCGAAGGCGACUUACUGGGCCGUAACUGACGCUGAGGCGCGAAAGCGUGGGGAGCGAACAGGAUUA